rnacentral:rRNA from 1 species
UUCCAGCUCCAAUAGCGUAUAUUAAAGUUGUUGUGGUUAAAAAGCUCGUAGUUGGAUUUCGGGUGAGGAUGACCGGUCUGCCGUUGCGGUACGCACUGGACGUUUUCAUCUUGUUGUCGGGGACGCGCUUCUGGGCUUCACUGUUCGGGACGCGGAGUCGGCGCUGUUACUUUGAAAAAAUUAGAGUGUUCAAAGCAGGCAAUCGCUCUGAAUACAUUAGCAUGGAAUAACGCUAUAGGACUCUGGUCCUAUUGUGUUGGUCUUCGGGACCGGAGUAAUGAUUAAGAGGGACAGUUGGGGGCAUUCGUAUUUCAUUGUCAGAGGUGAAAUUCUUGGAUUUAUGAAAGACGAACUUCUGCGAAAGCAUUUGCCAAGGAUGUUUUCAUUA